rnacentral:piRNA from 1 species
UGGCACUCACCUAUAGAGUCUACAAUCAGG